UGGGGAAUAUUGCACAAUGGGCGCAAGCCUGAUGCAGCGACGCCGCGUGAGGGAUGACGGCCUUCGGGUUGUAAACCUCUUUCAGCUCCGACGAAGCGCAAGUGACGGUAGGAGCAGAAGAAGCACCGGCCAACUACGUGCCAGCAGCCGCGGGAAUACGUAGGGUGCAAGCGUUGUCCGGAAUUACUGGGCGUAAAGAGCUCGUAGGCGGUUUGUCGCGUCGUCGGUGAAAUUCUGCAGCUUAACUGCAGGCGUGCAGGCGAUACGGGCAGACUUGAGUACUACAGGGGAGACUGGAAUUCCUGGUGUAGCGGUGAAAUGCGCAGAUAUCAGGAGGAACACCGGUGGCGAAGGCGGGUCUCUGGGUAGUAACUGACGCUGAGGAGCGAAAGCGUGGGUAGCGAACA
rnacentral:rRNA from 1 species